GUGAGACAGUUCGGUCCCUAUCUGGUGUGGGCGUUGGAUGAUUGAUGGGAGCUGCUCCUAGUACGAGAGGACCGGAGUGGACGAACCGCUGGUGUUCGGGUUGUCAUGCCAAUGGCAUUGCCCGGUAGCUACGUUCGGAACGGAUAACCGCUGAAAGCAUCUAAGCGGGAAGCCGGCCCAAAGAUGAGUCAUCCCUGACUUUUAAAGUCCGGAAGGGUUGUUAUAGACGAUGACGUUGAUAGGCAGGAUGUGGAAGCGUUGUAAGGCGUUAAGCUAACCUGUACUAAUUGCCCGAGAGGC
rnacentral:rRNA from 1 species